rnacentral:tRNA from 1 species
GCAUUUUUAUAAUUAGGGGUAUUAUUAAAAAAUUAUAAAUUUUUUUUAAUGAUAGUUGGUUCAAAUCCAAAAAUAUGCU